CUAACCGUUAAACGAUGACAACCAGCGAUUAGUCGGGCGUUAAUAUAUGACCCGACUAGCAGCUUCCGGGAAACCAAAGUUUUUCGUUUCCGGGGGAAGUAUGGUUGCAAAGCUGAAACUUAAAGGAAUUGACGGAAGGGCACCACCAGGAGUGGAGCAGGGCGGCUUAAUUUKWCUCAACACGGGAAAACUCACCCGGCCCGGACACCGUAAGGAUUGACAGACUGAGAGCUCUUUCUUAAUUUCGGUGGGUGGUGGUGCAUGGCCGUUCUCUAGUUGGUGGAGCGAUUUGUCUGGUUAAUUCCGAUAACGAACGAGACUCUGGCCUAUUAAAUAGACGGUAUAUCGAAAAGUAUAUCGCGCUUCUUAGAGGGACAAGCGGCGUCUAGCCGCAUGAAAUAGAGCAAUAACAGGUCUGUGAUGCCCUUAGAUGUCCGGGGCUGCACGCGCGCUACACUGAAAGAAUCAGCGUGCGCUUCGAUCCUGGUUCGGAAGAAUCGGGUAACCCAAGUAAAUUCUUUCGUGCUUGGGAUAGGGAAUUGCAAUUAUUUUCCCUUAAACGAGGAAUUCCCAGUAAAUGCGGGUCAUAAGCUCGCGUUG
rnacentral:rRNA from 1 species